GUUGGAUCUGAAAUGUAUUUGCCGAUCUGCUCAUGCGCAGAUCGACCCGUACGCCCUGCAGAAACUCUUCUUCUGAUGCUAAAGGGAGUAGACGGCUCUACUCCGAGUCCCAGGCAGGGAAGAACUAGCCACCAUCCGCCAUCUUGUUUUGUGGUUGCAGCUCCACGUGUGAGAUAUGAAACAAAAUGGCUCACUGGACGCGCCGCCAGGUUUAAGAGGUGCCAAGCAGAACAGAGGAAAACAUGACUCAGAAGGCCACACCUGCAUCCAAAUGCACAAGAACCUUGCAGGAUAUCCAUGACUAUAUAGAAAUACUUGAGGACAUGAAGAGAAAAGCAAAUACACUGGAUGAGGAGAGUAUAAAAUAUUUGAGUACUUUGAGUCCACCAUCAUUCUGAGGUAUGAGUUGUCUGUAUGGUUGUGUCUUCCUGCUCCCAAUAUGUAAUCUACACAGUCAAAUAUCCCAUUGUAGAGUGUAACGGUCAGGACACGUGCAGCCAGCUCAGAUCCUCAGACCUUUAAACCAGACAAAAGAAGAACAAACUCUAUUUCACAUUUUUGCAGUGUGAAAUCAAAUGAUUGUUUCAUAUUUGCGUCGUGCCGCUGGCCACUGUUCUGCCAGUCACCUACCGAGCCUCUGCCUGUGCAAUGGCCUUCCCCGUGACCAGCCGCUCAGCAAUAGCAGACACUGCAGGGUCGUAGUCCAGGCUCGCUGCUGCCACCACCUGAUCAUCCCUGUGGUACAGAAUGUCUUUUCAAGAGAGGCGACAGUCUUUUCAAGAGAUGACAGUACAGUAUGUUCCUGGGCUUACUUGAUGUACAGAGCCAGGAACCGCUUGUUCUCAAAACUUCCUUUGAUGACGACCUCGGUGUAUCCCUCGCCGUAACCUGUGGCCAACAGAACACAAUCAUCACCGUGUCUUCCUCACAGGCAGGGUGCACUCCAACAGACAGACACACCUGAUUUGCUCUGGAUUAAUAUUUUCUAUGUAUUCCUAAUAUCUAUAGCAGACCCUGGGCCCUCACGAUCAGCUGGAUCUGUGAGUCAGAUAACUUGUUAAGUUAUCUGACUAGUUUAAUAUCUAUAUUUAUUAGUCAUUACUAGCUCCAUUCUAAAUACAACUGGAAGACUUUCUUUUCUUUUUUCAUUUUUUGUGCGAAUUAUAUAACAUCGUUCGGCUAGUGAAAAUAUAUUGCCCUUCAAAAUAAAUUAGAAAAUGCGAUGAUAAUUAUGCUUACGAUCACAAUUGUGUUUCUCCCCAGGCAUCUACUACUAAAAUACAUCAUCUUCACAUGCUAAUGAUUUGUUAUGAGAGUCUUGAAGUAAAACUUAGUGAGAAAAAAAUUAAGCAUUAAAUAAUCAUAAACCCAAUUGUAUGAAGUCUGAUCAUUCCUGGUACUUGAUUUAAAAAAAAAUAUACAUUCUCUUAAAUCUUAUGGCAAGAGAGGGAGAAGGAUGAGGUGCUCACUGGAGUCUUCACUCUGAAGGUCACAGUCUUGGAAGCUCAAACAUCUGAACCUCCACUCACCUGUGUAUCUGAUCGUUUUGCCUUGGAGGACGGUCCAGUAGAAGGGAACUGAAUUGAGUUCUGUGGCUUUAUCCAGCAUGUUGAAAGCAGCGAUUCGGCCUGGAAUAGAAGUCAGGUCAAGAUGGGGUCACGGACCUAAUGUGGAGCGGAGGUUUCUCACUUAGAAUCAACAGCUGUCACUCAGUCACCUUGCACCAGGCGCAUUUCUCAGGCACACAGCUUCUAUUGUCGCGAGCUUUACCGUGCGCUUGUGCCAUCUGCCAGUGCCCAAUGUUGACCAGCUGGUCUUUGGCCAUGGCCAGAGGGAAGGUGGCCAAGUCUCCCGCGCAGAAGACCCCCGGUACGUUUGUGCGCAUGAACUGCAGCAAGAAGAAAGCAGCGGUUGUGAAGAGAGGAGAGGAGUCGGCUGGCUCACAUGGCAGGAGCUUGUUGACCUCUGACCUUAUCGACGAUUACAAACUUUCUCGAGUCCAUGACAAUCUUUGUUUCCGACAGAAACUCUGAGUUUGGGACAACACCUGGCAAAAAACACAAAUAGGCAGGUUAACAAGAUGCAAACUGAAAUGAACUUCUAUUGUCUCUGUACUGUGGAGAAAAGUCACUCACCAAUGGCGACAAUCAAAACAUCAGCUGGGAGAAUCUUUCCACUUUUCAGCACAACUUCUUUCACCUUUCGGAGGAGAGGACGAUGAAAGACAAAGCCAGUGAAUAUUCUGAUAGUGUCGGUUAGUGGAGCUGAAGUUUUAGCUCGAGAGGUGGCUGUGGUGGCUGCGGCAGGUCGGCCUAGGGGUUGCAACAGCAUGCCAGCCUCCUCCACCUUAAUGUCGCUUCAUCCCCAUUCACCAUGAACCACUCUUCCUCUCCUUAUCGCCAACAUCCUUGGUCCACUCUGUCUCUCUCUCUUCUCCACAGGCCCCUCUGACAGCCUUGUGUUUGAUGUGGUGCUUUGUAGCCAAAAACUUUGUGCACAAACCAAAAUGACCUUGCAGUUCUAAGUGAACUCUGCAGUGUCUGUACCUUUCCCUCUUCUCCACAAGCCUCUGUGACGCUGUCGUUCAUGCAGAACUUGACGUUCUUCUCUGACAGCAUCUGGUCCCAAGGUCUUCUGGUACGGAACCUCGCUGCUGCCGAUCACCGUGAUGCUGGAGGCUUUUUCAAUCAAGUAGGAAGCGACCUCCAUCCCUGGGGUCAACAGGUGAAAGCGGUUCCAUCUUUCGUCCCAAAACAUGAUGUCUUACAUCACCCCGUCCCAAAAUGAGUCUAGUUUCUUGCCUAAUUUUGGGUGUGAUCGAAAAAAACAAGUCUCCCCCCCCAGUCUUCACCCACCGAUGAAAGAGGUUCCCAGAAUGACGACGCUACAGUUCUCACAGGCUGCGUGGAUUUUCUGGGCGUCCUCUGGCGUCUCCAACAUUUUGACAUUUUCCAGGUUCAUUCCUGGGAUGUCAAGACUUUUGGCUCUGUAAGAUGUAGCCACAGUUAUCACUGAGGUGCAGGACCAUGACGUUGGUGUUUGUACCGGCAGCCUGUGGACAGGAGGAGCUGGUCGUAGUCCUGGACUGACCCGUCGUCAAAAAUGACCUUCUUCUCGUCUGUGUCUACAUUCGUCGCCUGGACAUGGAGGAGCAGAGUUUGCUGUGGAACAUGAGGAUGAAGGAACAUGUCACCGCGACUCACUUCUUUCCCGAGCCAGACUUCAAUAUCAUACUGGUGAAAGAACUGCAUCCCCCGCAGCAGAAUGCUGUCGCUCUGCACGUUCAUCACCUUCAGUCAGGGUGAAAACAGACCAGUAAGAUCAAAGUUCUCGGUCACUGAAAUGCCCCGGUUCCGCCGCACCUUGCUGAGGCGGGUUUUGUCGUACGGUAAGAGGUGGUCUCUGGUGACCAUGAUGAUUCUGCCACCGAAGUUCUCCUGCCGCAGCGUCUCAGCGCAGAUCAGAGACGCAGCUCCUGCACUUGCACGGCAUCGUGGUCACCGGGGUGAAGCAGUAGUGAACCAGCAGUCAAGGAAUGCCACUCACCUCCUCCCAGCAGGACGACUGUGUGUGUGACGCCCUGCACGGCCGUACCCAUGUUCUUCCUCCGCUUCUCCUGGAUGACAGUCUGAUGACAGCGAAUCAUCCAGAGAUGCUUGAAGCUGUAAAUCUGAGUUGUGUGUGGAAGAACGUUGCCUCACCUUUUUGUUGACAGAGACGUACACUUUGUUGUUCUGGACUUUGACCUGCGGCAGAGCGGAGACUCACGUUUGUAGUUAGUGGUCCUCUGUGUGGCUGGGUUCUUUACCUUGUGACACGGCAGACAGUCCAAACCGGGGUGCUCCUCCAAGUCUCCUGUGUGGACGUUGAAACAAGCGCCAUGCCAGGGACAGCGCACCCGAUGCCCUGAAAUGACCCCUGAACACACAUACACACACACACACACACACACCCACACACACACACACACGUCCAUGAUGCAGACAUAGACGACAGACUCGUGAGGGGAAGGGAUUCAUGCCUACCUUUGCUCAGCGGUGCACCGUAGUGUGUACACUGGCUACCUACAGCGCUGUAUUUGCCCUCGGUGCGGGUCAACAGCACGCUGUGGUGACCCACCUCCACCUCCAUCAUCCUUGGAGAGCAGCACGGUCAGUGAAGAUCAUAAGUGAAGCUUUGCUCCCUCAACUCUUUUCUGUCUUACAGUAAAGCAUCACAUGGCUGGUGGAUGCAGGUGUCAUUUCACAUUUCAUACGACAUUUUCUUUUGAUAAACUGUUGCCACGGUGUCAGGGUAAGUGCUCUCAUUUAAGGGGCGUGAUAAUGUAUUUCCAUCUCUUACUUGACGUAUGAAGCUGUGGAUAAUGACAUCAUCAUCAUCAUCAUCGAGGGCUUUUUGUUUAGUUUCAACCUACAGUAGUUUCAGCUCCCAAUAAGGUCACAAGCCAGGACAGUGUGCUGAUAGAGAGGCUGUCAGUGAGGCAGCUGAGUGUCAAUACCCUCGUUAAAUCAGACGUGUGAGGAUUGGAAAUUGCAAAUAGAAAACAAACUUCAUAUUGAAAUAUUAGCCUUGAGCUGCCUGCGAUCAUUUCUGGACCCAGAACUGAGAAAUGGAAGUUAUGUAUUUAAAAACCAGCCAAACUGUGGUGAUGCGGCUACUGAAUGAUAUGUUGUGUGUGACACACAAACACACACACUCAUGUUUGUAUCUCUAUCCUUGUGGGGAUCUUUCAUGGCCAUAACCCUUUCCCCAGCUUCUCACCUAAACCAGAGCUUUGAACCAAACUGAAACCAAAUUCUAAUGACCCAGUUUUUUUAAGUUUUAAUCCUCUGAUUCAUGUUGAAGGUCCCCACUAGUAUAGCUGUACAAUGUGCACACACACACACAAGCACACUCUCUUACUGUCCAUCAUGAAGGUCUGACUCGAGACAAACCACUUUUGUCACUUCCUCUGUGCUCUCCUCCAGAUGAUCAUCUGGGAACUCCUGCGGGGCUGAAAACACAGGCAGUAUUCACAGCCUCUUCUACACAAGCCUCAUGGUGGAUCAUGAGAACUGCAGGAGGAGUGACGAGGCAAAGGCGGGUCACGACUUCGAUGUGAAGUGGGUUCCAUUACAGCAGAUGGUGUUUUGAGAGAGAGAGAUUCUAAUAUCUUCCUGGUAUGUGAUUUGACUGAAUCAAGUGCCACUUGAAGAGCAGUUGAUUGACAUGUGUAAGCUACUGCUCAACUCUUACAGUUUUACGUGAUAGUUCAGUUCAGAUUACGUUCCACUUUUGCCAGUUAUUUUUUUAUCUUGUUUUCUUGACCAACUAUAUAAUGACAGUGAAGAUGACAUCACCAUGACAUCACUGAGGUGCUGAGGUGUAACAAGGCAGGAAGGAAUGUCAUGAAUGAGUACAUAUAAAUAUAUAAAAAAUGUAUAAAAAAGCCCCAGCUGAGGAAUGAAUGAAGUGGCUCACUGCAGGUAACUAAUUCCAGCCUUAACCCCUCCAUGUUUCUCACCAAACCACCGGUUUUGUUUUCUAUAUUGUCAGAAUACAUCAAUUACAUGUAGACGCUCCAAUUGUAAUCAUGGAAUCUUGAUGUUCAUUGGGAAGAUGAUGAUGAUGUUUAUGAAGUUGUUUUGUUUUCAUUUCUAAUGCUAGACAUGCUGUUGUCUAAUAUUCAUUCAGAGGUGUUGACGCUUUGAAAGCUCUGGGUUGCUAAAAUAGACCAUUAGAAACAGCUGGAUCAGGUCGGAAUGUGGCCCAGACUUUCACAAGUACAACUGAAAAUUGACCUUCUAGAGGUCAAAUGUGUUUUUUAGCACAGAAAAGGGACAGCAGGAACAUGAGAAUUGAAGUUGGUGUCGUUGGUGCGAGUCACUCUACUCCAUCUUUCCUCUCUUUGCUCCCCUUCAUGUGUACAUUUAUAAGUCCAUGAGCUGCAUUGGUUGCCCUCUUGCCCCAUUGCUCUCCUCUAACUUUUAUCGCUUAAUUUCUGCCUACUUUACUCUUGACUAUGUUUAAUAUGAUCCAGCUACAUCUGAAAGUAGCUUCCAUAACUUGCUCGGUCGUUCAUGUUCUAUUUCUCAAUUAUUGAAUGUCAAGACAUAGGCGCUUAAGUUGUGGGGGAAAUUCAGCAAUAAAACUGCUAAUUCUCCACCCAUGAAGUCCCUUGGUUGUUGUUCCCAAACUCAAAGUCCAGCUCCCUUGUUCAUGAUUACACACAUCCCACAAGAUAAAAACGUCCCCUAAACCCUGGCGAGCUGGGAGUUAGACAAUGAUUAAAUGAAAACUAUACGAUGGACUAAAUAAGGAACUAACUAAUAACUGUGAUUCUGACAACAUUCCUUCUGAAGUCUGCAUCACAUGGUCUGUCGUAGCCAGAGAGUCGGACCGUGUUGUGUAGAGCUGGACCGGUGUGCAGUUAUCAGUGCCAACUUUAUCAGCAGGUGAGCAUCCAAGGCCAGACCCAACGUGUUG